rnacentral:rRNA from 1 species
AACGAACGCUGGCGGCAGGCUUAACACAUGCAAGUCGAACGGUUGUAGCAAUACAGCAGUGGCGCACGGGUGAGUAACGCGUGGAUAUCUGCCUUUUGGUUCGGAAUAACUCCGGGAAACUGGAGCUAAUACCGGAUGGUUCCUGCGGGAUAAAGAUUUAUCGCCAAAAGAUGAGUCCGCGUACGAUUAGCUAGUUGGUGAGGUAAUGGCUCACCAAGGCGACGAUCGUUAGCUGGUCUGAGAGGACGAUCAGCCACACUGGGACUGAGACACGGCCCAGACUCCUACGGGAGGCAGCAGUGGGGAAUAUUGGACAAUGGGGGCAACCCUGAUCCAGCCAUGCCGCGUGAGUGAUGAAGGCC